AAAAAGGGUCGGUUGCCUAAAUGUGCCAUGCCAACCUUUGCUAGUCGGGUGUUGUAUGGCAAUCAAGACAUAUGGCCAACACAAUCUGUGGAGAAUUCUAUAGGGUUGGCCAAGGUGUAAGGUUCAUAGGA